rnacentral:rRNA from 1 species
GGACUACUCGGGUAUCUAAUCCUGUUUGCUACCCACGCUUUCGUGUCUCAGCGUCAGAAGUGGUCCAGUAAGCUGCCUACACCACAGGUGUUCCUCCUGAUAUCUACGCAUUUCACCGCUACACCAGGAAUUCCGCUUACCUCUCCCACCCUCUAGCAUUCCAGUUUCCGCCGCACCCUCCCAGUUAAGCCGGGAGAUUUCACAACAGACUUGGAACACGGCCUACACACUCUUUACGCCCAAUAAUUCCGAACAACGCUUGCUGCCUACGUAUUACCGCGGCGGCUGGCAC